CCCGCUGAACUUAAGCAUAUCAAUAAGCGGAGGAAAAGAAACCAACAGGGAUUGCCUUAGUAA
rnacentral:rRNA from 1 species